rnacentral:rRNA from 1 species
GUAGGUGGCAAGCGUUGUCCGGAAUUAUUGGGCGUAAAGCGCGCGCAGGCGGUCCUUUAAGUCUGAUGUGAAAGCCCACGGCUCAACCGUGGAGGGUCAUUGAAAACUGGGGGACUUGAGUACGGAAGAGGAAAGCGGAAUUCCAAGUGUAGCGGUGAAAUGCGUAGAGAUUUGGAGGAACACCAGUGGCGAAGGCGGCUUUCUGGUCUGUAACUGACGCUGAGGCGCGAAAGCGUGGGGAGCAAACAGGAUUAGAUACCCUGGUAGUCCACGCCGUAAACGAUGAGUGCUAAGUGUUAGGGGGUUUCCCGCCCCCCUUAGUGCUGCAGCUAACGCAUUAAGCACUCCGCCUGGGGGAGUACGGCCGCAAGGCUG